rnacentral:rRNA from 1 species
GUGCAGCAGGCGCGAAUAGUCUACAAUGGACGAAAGUCUGAUAGUGCGACGCCGUGUGUGCGAUUAAUUCCUUCGGGAUGUAAAGCACUUUUCUAUGAGAUAAAAGCUCUUUAGGUUAAUAGCUUAUUGAGACGGAUAUUAUUAUAGGAAUAAGCUCCGGCUAACUCCGUGCCAGCAGCCGCGGUAAUACGGAAGGAGCGAGCGUUGUCCGGAUUUACUAGGCGUAAAGGGCUAGUAGGCGACUAAUUAAGUUAUAUGUUAAAUCCCACGGCUCAACUGUGGUCCUGCAUGUAAUACUGGUUAGAUAGAGUACUGUAGAGGAAGGCAGAAUUCCUGGAGUAGCGGUGGAAUGCGCAGAUAUCAGGAAGAAUAACCAAAAAGACGAAAGGCAGCCUUCUGGGCAGUUACUGACGCUGAAUAGCGAAAGGUGUGGGUAGCGAACAGGAUUAGAUACCCGUGUAGU